AUUGAACGCUGGCGGCAUGCUUUACACAUGCAAGUCGAACGGUAACAGACCGCAAGGUGCUGACGAGUGGCGAACGGGUGAGUAAUGCAUCGGAACGUGCCCAGUCGUGGGGGAUAACUACUCGAAAGAGUAGCUAAUACCGCAUACGAUCUAUGGAUGAAAGCGGGGGACCGUAAGGCCUCGCGCGAUUGGAGCGGCCGAUGUCAGAUUAGGUAGUUGGUGGGGUAAAGGCUCACCAAGCCAACGAUCUGUAGCUGGUCUGAGAGGACGACCAGCCACACUGGGACUGAGACACGGCCCAGACUCCUACGGGAGGCAGCAGUGGGGAAUUUUGGACAAUGGGCGCAAGCCUGAUCCAGCAAUGCCGCGUGCAGGAAGAAGGCCUUCGGGUUGUAAACUGCUUUUGUACGGAACGAAACGGCUCUGGUUAAUACCCGGGGCUAAUGACGGUACCGUAAGAAUAAGCACCGGCUAACUACGUG
rnacentral:rRNA from 1 species